ACAGGAGCCUUACGAAAGAGCUCAGAGAUAUCGAUCUUCUUUUGGAAGAGCGCUGAAUAAAAAGGGGGAGAAAUAGGUGGCUGAUUUCCUAUUUUUUUCUUGAAGGGCUGCCUUCGUUCAGGGUAUAGCCAGUGAUGAAUUUGCUGGGCCUCAAGACCUGAUCAUCCUGGAUCAAAGACAAUAUGGUGUCCAGAAGUAGGCCAUCGUUCCAGUAGAAAUCAAUAUUAUUUUUUUCUUUCCUCAAAAGUUCUAUGCUGAUCAUGUGCUUUGGUUCAUUUGGCUUGUUUGGAUUUUUUACAUUUUGGUGACAUUGAUUCAUUUUUGCAUUCUGUACACUGGAUUUUCUUGUGUCUAAUAUUUGCACAGAUUUCAUAGUGCAUUUCAAAUCCAGAAAAGCCAUGGCUGAUUGGCCUGCUAAGCAAAGCAGAAACAGGUGGGAAAUGUGCAUCUUGCUCAUGCUUUUUUGUAAUAUUGAUGGGGGCAUUUUCCUGCAGAGGUAUACUUGACCUUGAGUUUUGACCUGUCCUCUGCAGUUCUCCUAUCUUUUUUAUUUUAGAACUUCAAGUGUAAAAAGAAGAGUUGUUUUGCUAGCAAGGAUGUGUGUAUCCCUUAUGAUCACGCUUUCAUUUUGUAUGCUAUUGAAGACUAUUGAUGUAAAUAUAAUUUACAUUUAGAAUAUAAAAGCUGGCAGCUGGGCAGAGGGGGAUAUUUGUGUGGGGCUUGUCUUCUGGGGAACAGCACCUGCUGUCACUAAUUGUUAAGCUACUAGAUAGAAACCACAAAGUAUCUUCUUUUGCUUUUUGGCAGCCUGUUGAGAAAAAUAAUGGGUACAUUUCAGGUAAAUUUUUAAAUACAAGAAUGAAUAGAGUUAUCUCUGAUUGUCUGCAAGAUUAAUUUUAGAUGUGUUUUUUUUGGGGGGGGAGUAGUCUCUUAACUGGGAUCAACUAGAAUUAAUUAUUAUUUUUUCUUUCAGGGAUAUCCUCCUUCCCUUAAGAAGUACUUAAAUGAAAUGUUGGUGUCUUGUAUGAGAGAUAAAACACAGAACCAAUGUCUUUCUGCUUACAUUCCUUGCUCUGAAAAUACCUACGUCCCAGGCACAAAUGUCUGUUCUAGUUUCAAGGCAUUGCAUCUGUACUGCAAAAAUACAGAUGGCCACUAGAUGGCAGCUGAGAACAUUCUGUAAUAUUUUGCUGCUAUCUAAUGGUUGUCCAAUUUUUUACAGCCCUUCCAGAUCCCAAUUUUACUUGCCUGAAACAUCUGAAACUGAGUUUCAUUUCUGCUGAAAGUGGAUUCACUACAUUAAUUCAGAUUUUUUUUUCCCCUGCUUGGAUAAGGUGUCCAGACGUCCCACUUUUGGCGGGACAGGCACGCUUUCCCACAAUUGGUCCUGCGUCCCGCGUAGUUUUCAAAAAGUCCCGAUUUUUAAUUUUGGCACCUUUGCUCGCUCGCUCGCUCCCCCGCCCAUCCACACUAAGUCUAAGGCAGUCCAGUCUGCCGCUCACUGAUUGCGCCUGGACUCCAGCCAAUCAGUGAGCGGGCUGGGGAUGGAAAAGUUUAAGCACGCUGCUGACUCGAGUCUCCAUUUCGCCUUCGCCUUUGCUGCUUCAGGUAAGCAACUCUGGCGGCGGGAAUCGAGUGGGCGGUGGCGGCCUAGCUUUGCAAGGGAAGGCCUUCCCUUGCAAAGGCCUUCCCUAGGGAGGCCGCGGCCUGGCAGUAGCCACCACGAUCUAAUUUCCCCCCCCCCUGCUUCCUCUCCAUACCACUAAGGCACCCUAGCCAUUUUUUGUCCCUCCACAGUCCAGUCCAGUCAGUGUCUUACCUGUUCCUGCUGCCUGCCUGCUCCAUGCUUCCAUCCAUCGAUGAGAGGAUCCAUCGCAUCGAAGUUCUGACACUGCCUGCCUGCUGGAAAGUCACAAAAGAGGCAGUUACAUGACCCCAGGACAUUGAAAC